rnacentral:rRNA from 1 species
UGGCGGACGGGUGAGUAACGCGUAAAGAACUUGCCCUUUAGACUGGGAUAACAGAGGGAAACUUCUGAUAAUACUGGAUAAGUUAGUAUAUCGCAUGAUAUGCAAAUGAAAAGCUACGGCACUAAAGGAGAGCUUUGCGUCCUAUUAGCUAGUUGGUAAGGUAAGAGCUUACCAAGGCGAUGAUAGGUAGCCGGCCUGAGAGGGUGGACGGCCACAAGGGGACUGAGAUACGGCCCUUACUCCUACGGGAGGCAGCAGCG